CUUGGCGACCAUAGCGUUGUAGACCCACCUGAUCCCAUGCCGAACUCAGAAGUGAAAUACAGUAGCGCCGAUGGUAGUGUGGGGUUUCCCCAUGUGAGAGUAGGACAUCGCCAGGC
rnacentral:rRNA from 1 species